rnacentral:rRNA from 1 species
UAAAGAUUCAUCGGCUGCGGAUGGCCAUGCGGCGCAUUAGCUAGUCGGCGGGGUAACGGCCCACCGAGGCGACGAUGCGUAGGGGUUCUGAGAGGAAGGUCCCCCACACUGGUACUGAGACACGGACCAGACUCCUACGGGAGGCAGCAGUGAGGAAUAUUGGUCAAUGGCCGGGAGGCUGAACCAGCCAAGUCGCGUGAGGGAAGACGGCCCUACGGGUUGUAAACCUCUUUUGUCAGGGAGCAAGAGGCGGGUCGAGACCUGCUGUGAGAGUACCUGAAGAAAAAGCAUCGGCUAACUCCGUGCCAGCAGCCGCGGUAAUACGGAGGAUGCGAGCGUUAUCCGGAUUUAUUGGGUUUAAAGGGUGCGCAGGCGGAGGCACAAGUCGGCGGUAAAAUCGCGGGGCUCAACCCCGCUCCGCCGUUGAAACUGUGUCCCUUGAGUGCGCGAAGGGUAGGCGGAAUGCGUGGUGUAGCGGUGAAAUGCAUAGAUAUCACGCAGAACUCCGAUCGCGAAGGCAGCCUACCGGCGCGCAACUGACGCUCAUGCACGAAAGCGUGGGUAUCGAACAGGAUUAGAUACCCUGGUAGUCCACGCAGUAAACGAUGAAUGCUAUCUGUCCGGCCGGAAUGACGGCUGG